rnacentral:rRNA from 1 species
UGUGUAGGCGGCUCCCUAAGUUUGGUGUGAAAUCUCCCGGCUCAACCGGGAGGGUGCGCCGAAAACUGGGGGGCUAGAGUGCGGGAUGGGAGAGUGGAAUUCCUGGUGUAGCGGUGAAAUGCGUAGAUAUCAGGAGGAACACCGGUGGUGCAGACGGCUCUCUGGACCGUAACUGACGCUGAGACACGAAAGCGUGGGUAGCAAACAGGAUUAGAUACCCUGGUAGUCCACGCCCUAAACGAUGCAUAUUUGGUGUAGGUCAUUCAGUUGAUCUGUGCCGGAGCUAACGCGUUAAAUAUGCCGCCUGGGGAGUACAGUCGCAAGGCUAGAA